UACCACAGUGACAUUCUACCUAAACCACAGGUCCAGACUCAAAGGAGUCAAGGACUACAGACAGAAACUGUGAGGCAAGGGCAAUGGAGCAUGCUGUACCAGCUUAUGAGGACCUGUUUUGAACAAACACCAAGAUUGAUAAUGUGCCCCUAAGGGGAAGCGUCUAUACAGCCGGGUUCUUCAAGGAUACAUCAAAGGGGCAAGAUGGGCCAUCUUCUAGA
rnacentral:lncRNA from 1 species